CUUUUUUUUUUUCCCCCAUAGGCGAACAAUGAUGCUGAAGUCACUGAGCCUAAAAGAAGGUCAGAGAGGUUGGUAAACAAACCUGCACCUUCAAAGGCAGAGCCUAAGCCAAAGAAGGCGGCUGCCAAACCUAAGAAAACAAAGGAACCCAAGGAGCCCAAGGAGGAGGAGAAGAAAGAGGAGGUGCCCGCAGAAAACGGAGAAACGAAAGCUGACGAAGAGGCAACGGAAGACGCUGACAAGAAGGGAGAAGACGGGGAAUAACUUUGCUGAGGUCUCAUC